rnacentral:misc_RNA from 1 species
GAUGAAGAACGUAGCGAAAUGCGAUAAGUAAUGUGAAUUGCAGAAUUCAGUGAAUCAUCGAAUCUUUGAACGCACAUUGCGCCCCUUGGUAUUCCGAGGGGCAUGCCUGUUCGAGCGUCAUUAUAACCCCUCAAGCUCAGCUUGGUGUUGGGGCCUGCUGCACUGGCAGCCCUUAAAAUCAGUGGCGGCGCCAUCUGGCUCAAGCGUAGUAAUUCUUCUCGCUAUGGAGUCCUGGUGGAUGCUUGCCAUCAACCCCCAAUUUUUCUAUGGUUGACCUCGGAUCAGGUAGGGAUACCCGCUGAACUUAAGCAUAUCAAUAAGCGGAGGA